UACGGAGGGUGCGAGCGUUGUCCGGAAUCACUGGGCGUAAAGGGCGCGUAGGCGGCCUGGCAAGUCGAUGGUGAAAGCCCGAGGCUCAACUUCGGGUCGGCCACUGAUACUGCUGGGCUUGAGUCGACUAGAGGCAGAUGGAAUUCCGGGUGUAGCGGUGGAAUGCGUAGAGAUCCGGAAGAACACCGGUGGCGAAGGCGGUCUGCUGGGGUGGAACUGACGCUGAGGCGCGACAGCGUGGGGAGCGAACAGG
rnacentral:rRNA from 1 species